UGGUGCGGUCCGCCUCUGGUG
rnacentral:misc_RNA from 1 species